rnacentral:rRNA from 1 species
GACGGAGGGAUGCAAGUGUUAUCCGGAAUCACUGGGCGUAAAGCGUCUGUAGGUUGUUUAAAAAGUCUGCAGUUAAAGGUUGAAGCUUAACUUCAAAAAUGCCGUAGAAACUUUAAACUAGAGGAUGGUAGGGGUAGAGGAAUUUCCAGUGGAGCGGUGAAAUGUGUAGAUAUUGGAAAGACCACCGAUGGCGAAGGCACUCUACUGGGCCAUGACUGACACUGAGAGACGAAAGCUAGGGGAGCAAAUGGG